ACGCGUGAGAAUCUAGCUCUAGGUCGGGGACAACAGUUGGAAACGGCUGCUAAUACCGGAUGUGCCGAAAGGUGAAAGAUUAAUUGCCUAGAGAUGAGCUCGCGUCUGAUUAGCUAGUGGUGGUAAGGUACCUAGGCGACGAUCAGUAGCUGGUCUGAGAGGACGAUCAGCCACACUGGGACUGAGACACGGCCCAGACUCCUACGGGAGGCAGCAGUGGGGAAUUUUCCGCAAUGGGCGAAAGCCUGACGGAGCAAUACCGCGUGAGGGAGGAAGGCUCUUGGGUUGUAAACCUCUUUUCUCAAGGAAGAAUACAAUGACGGUACUUGAGGAAUAAGCAUCGGCUAACUCCGUGCCAGCAGCCGCGGUAAUACGGAGGAUGCAAGCGUUAUCCGGAAUGAUUGGGCGUAAAGCGUCCGCAGGUGGCAAUGAAAGUCUGCUGUUAAAGAGUGAGGCUCAACCUCAUAAAAGCGGUGGAAACUACAUAGCUAGAGUACGUUCGGGGCAGAGGGAAUUCCUGGUGUAGCGGUGAAAUGCGUAGAGAUCAGGAAGAACACCGGUGGCGAAAGCGCUCUGCUAGGCCUGUACUGACACUGAGGGACGAAAGCUAGGGGAGCGAAUGGGAUUAGAUACCCCAGUA
rnacentral:rRNA from 1 species